UCCAGUGAAAGCUUUUCUUAAUGUAACUUUGAGUACAUCUCAAUUGCCUUCUAUUUUUAAAACCUAAGGUCAUUAGUUGGGCUUUACUGUUCUUGCUAUCAUAUGGCAUAUACAUCUGCCUGGAUAUAUUUCUACUCUUGACCAAAGUUUUGUAAGAAACAAUACAGAAUUUGGGGACGGGAGGGAGGAUACUUUGAGAACUACUUACAAAAGAUUUAUCUGCUUGCUUGAACUCAGGAGUACGGUUUUAGCUCCCUAGACUCUUAACAGCUUUUGCUCUAAAACUAUUAAAGUGUUUCUUAGUAAUGAAAAAGUAAAGAUCUUGCUAACAUUAAUACAAGGAACAUUUCACCUUUUAGAUAUUAAAUUCUUAUGUGGACUUAUUUCCAACCAACUUUGAUGAUUCCUGUGAUUGGUGAUUGGUGGCCGGCUUGUAUGACAUAUGCUGAGAUACACUGUGGAGCUUUUCAUAGAAGGCUUAUCAGAUCCUCUGAGGCAGUAUUGACCCUGUAUACGCUCAAGAGUUAAUUUGAUGUUGUAACAGGCGUUGUGAAAUGCAUUUGCACGUUGUGAUAAAGACACAAUGAGAUGAAUUGUGCAGAACCAUAACCAAAAGAAAUGUAAACUUGCUUAAAAAUCCUUUCACUCUUUGUAUUUUUUUUAAAACGGUUUUUAUUCCUUAGAUGUAAAAUGACUACUUUUUUUUUUGAUGUAAACUCAUUAAAUUC
rnacentral:lncRNA from 1 species